rnacentral:lncRNA from 1 species
CUUUCACCACCAAAAAGCUGUCACCACGUCCCUUGGCCCCAGAGGACCCUGGCCAUGCUCAGGGUCAGAGUUUUCUGGUUUUCGGUGGCUGCAGCGGCUGUUGGCAGCCCGGGCAGUGCCCACCGCCUCCAGGGAGGCGCCCAGGGUUGCCCCCCAGGCCGGGGAGGGACAGAGGAGGAGGGGACAGGAGCUGGGAGCGGGAGGGGCGAGGGUGCACCGAGUCUGUAGCUGGGCUACUCGAUCUUUCUG